rnacentral:rRNA from 1 species
GAGUUUGAUCCUGGCUCAGAUGAACGCUAGCGGCAGGCCUACACAUGCAAGUCGAGGGUAACAUUGGAGCUUGCUUCAGAUGACGACCCGGCGCACGGGUGCGUAACGCCGUAUAGAACCCUACCUUUUACAAAGGGAUAGCCUUUAGAAAUGAAGAUUAAUACCUUAUAGUAUUUUAGAUUAGCAUUAAUUUAAAAUUAAAGAUUUAUCGGUAAAAGAUGGCUAUGCGUUCUAUUAGCUAGAUGGAGUGGUAACGGCACCCCAUGGCUACGAUAGAUAGGGGCCCUGAGAGGGGGAUCCCCCACACUGGUACUGAGACACGGACCAGACUCCUACGGGAGGCAGCAGUGAGGAAUAUUGGACAAUGGAGGCAACUCUGAUCCAGCCAUGCCGCGUGCAGGAUGACUGCCCUAUGGGUUGUAAACUGCUUUUAUACAGGAAGAAACACUCCCUCGUGAGGGAGCUUGACGGUACUGUAAGAAUAAGGAUCGGCUAACUCCGAGCCAGCAGCCGCGGUAAUACGGAGGAUCCAAGCGUUAUCCGGAAUCAUUGGGUUUAAAGGGUCCGUAGGUGGAUGAUUAAGUCAGAGGUGAAAUCCUGCAGCUCAACUGUAGAAUUGCCUUUGAUACUGGUUAUCUUGAAUCAUUAUGAAGUAGUUAGAAUAUGUAGUGUAGCGGUGAAAUGCAUAGAUAUUACAUAGAAUACCAAUUGCGAAGGCAGAUUACUAAUAAUGUAUUGACACUGAUGGACGAAAGCGUGGGGAGCGAACAGGAUUAGAUACCCUGGUAGUCCACGCCGUAAACGAUGGUUACUAGCUGUUCGGUUUUCGGACUGAGUGGCUAAGCGAAAGUGAUAAGUAACCCACCUGGGGAGUACGUUCGCAAGAAUGAAACUCAAAGGAAUUGACGG